GUGUCAGCAGCCGCGGUAAAACGUAGGACGCAAGCGUUAUCCGGAGUUACUGGGCGUAAAGCGCGGGCAGGCGGUCUCUUAAGUCUGAUGUGAAAUCUCCUCGCUCAACGGGGAGCAGCCAUUGGAAACUGGGAAACUGGAGUCUGACAGAGGUAGGCGGAAUUCCGGGUGGAGUGGUGAAAUGCGUAGAGAUCCGGAGGAACACCAGAGGCGAAGGCGGCCUACUGGGUCAGUACUGACGCUGAGCCGCGAAAGCCAGGGGAGCGAACGGGAUUAGAUACCCCGGUAGUCC
rnacentral:rRNA from 1 species